rnacentral:rRNA from 1 species
AUGAACGCUGGCGGCGUGCCUAAUACAUGCAAGUCGAGCGAACAGAUGAGGAGCUUGCUCCUCUGACGUUAGCGGCGGACGGGUGAGUAACACGUGGAUAACCUACCUAUAAGACUGGGAUAACUUCGGGAAACCGGAGCUAAUACCGGAUAAUAAAUUGAACCGCAUGGUUCAAUAGUGAAAGACGGUUUUGCUGUCACUUAUAGAUGGAUCCGCGCCGCAUUAGCUAGUUGGUAAGGUAACGGCUUACCAAGGCAACGAUGCGUAGCCGACCUGAGAGGGUGAUCGGCCACACUGGAACUGAGACACGGUCCAGACUCCUACGGGAGGCAGCAGUAGGGAAUCUUCCGCAAUGGGCGAAAGCCUGACGGAGCAACGCCGCGUGAGUGAUGAAGGUCUUCGGAUCGUAAAACUCUGUUAUUAGGGAAGAACAAAUGUGUAAGUAACUAUGCACGUCUUGACGGUACCUAAUCAGAAAGCCACGGCUAACUACGUG